rnacentral:rRNA from 1 species
CUCGGGGGUAGAGCACUGGAUGGGGAAGGGGGGCGCGAGCCUUACCAACUCUAACCAAACUCCGAAUACCGAGGAGUACAAUCACAGCAGACAGACGGCGGGUGCUAAGGUCCGUCGUCAAAAGGGAAACAGCCCUAACCUACAGCUAAGGUCCCCAAGUCAUAUCUAAGUGGGAAAGCAUGUGGGAAUCCCAAAACAACCAGGAGGUUGGCUUAGAAGCAGCCAUCCUUUAAAGAAAGCGUAACAGCUCACUGGUCUAAAUAAGGGUUCCUGCGGCGAAGAUGUAACGGGGCUAAAGAUAUGCACCGAAGCUUAGGGUUCAUAGUUUACUAUGAGCGGUAGCGGAGCGUUCCGUAAGCCGAUGAAGGUGAGGCGUGAGCCUUGCUGGAGGUAUCGGAAGUGAGAAUGCUGACAUGAGUAGCGAU